GAAAUGCGAUAAGUAGUGUGAAUUGCAGAAUUCAGUGAAUCAUCGAAUCUUUGAACGCACAUUGCGCCCCUUGGUAUUCCAUGGGGCAUGCCUGUUCGAGCGUCAUUUGUACCCUCAAGCUCUGCUUGGUGUUGGGUGUUUGUCCCGUCUCCGCGCGUGGACUCGCCCCAAAGUGAUUGGCAGCCGGCGUACUGGUCCCGGAGCGCAGCAUAUGUCGCGCAAACGAGUGCCUUGGUACGGCGGCGUCCAUAAGCCCCUCUCUCACGCUCUUGACCUCGGAUCAGGUAGGGAUACCCGCUGAACUUAAGC
rnacentral:misc_RNA from 1 species